rnacentral:rRNA from 1 species
GAGUUUGAUCGUGGCUCAGGAUGAACGCUGGCGGCGUGCCUAAUACAUGCAAGUCGAACGAACAGAUAAGGAGCUUGCUCCUUUGACGUUAGCGGCGGACGGGUGAGUAACACGUGGGUAACCUACCUAUAAGACUGGAAUAACUCCGGGAAACCGGGGCUAAUGCCGGAUAACAUGUUGAACCGCAUGGUUCUACAGUGAAAGACGGUCUUGCUGUCACUUAUAGAUGGACCCGCGCCGUAUUAGCUAGUUGGUGGGGUAACGGCCUACCAAGGCGACGAUACGUAGCCGACCUGAGAGGGUGAUCGGCCACACUGGAACUGAGACACGGUCCAGACUCCUACGGGAGGCAGCAGUAGGGAAUCUUCCGCAAUGGGCGAAAGCCUGACGGAGCAACGCCGCGUGAGUGAUGAAGGUCUUCGGAUCGUAAAGCUCUGUUGUUAGGGAAGAACAAAUGUGUAAGUAACUGUGCAUAUCUUGACGGUACCUAACCAGAAAGCCACGGCUAACUACGUGCCAGCAGCCG